rnacentral:misc_RNA from 1 species
CAAUGGCCUGUGCCUUCUGCUUGUGGCUGGUACCCCACUCUACAGCAAACUUAAUGGACCUGCACUUGUCAUUAUCCUUUAUCGGCCAGUAGUGGUCAAUUGGCCUCAGACUUCUCGUGAAGAAGUCAUAGUAAUGGGGUUUUACAAGUAAGGUAACAGAAUCACAGGCAAGAAUGUAUUUUUCGCUGACUGACCAUGCAGAACCUUCAAUAUAGAUCUUAUACCUGUGAAUGCAUUGGCUUUCCAAGUUUGAUUGUUUGUACCCUUGCUGUGAUUCUCGAAGCCAGUCCUGACCAUAGACACGAGCAUUCCAGUCUUGUUGUUNNNNNNNNNNNCCUGUCUGGUUUCAGCAACAGCUGGAUUUCCUUUCCAGUAAGCAUAAGGUUCCCUGUCCAUCCAUCUGGUCUUCUUGUUGCCUUCUUUUAAAUCAUUCAGCAAAUUCUCCCAUGGCUUUAUGUUGAUCUCAGGCCAUCCCCAAAAGGACCAAUCCGGGAACACGAUAUCAAGUGAGUCAUCAUCCCCACAGUACCGAAACAAAGGCGGUGGGCCCGUUGCACUGGGCCCACUAUACUCGCUUGAUUUCACAACCGGCCAGUCAACACAAUCAAACAUCGGCUCCAAGUCCGGCACUUUUCCUGGGUAUCUCCGUAACAACUGUAGGAUUCCCCACAGCGUAAAAACAUCUCGGGUCUGAAAUGACUUCCGAUACGUUUCCAAAUAGGCUUUGCCAUGCACAAUCAGCAACCUAAAAUUCGCCGUCCUUUUAGCUCUCUCGACCAUUUCUCUCGUGAUCCCCGUGCGAGCCCACGGACGUAAGUCUUCGUAUAUCCAACGGAAGUACUCUGGACAAGUUGAAACAGAUGGACGGUAUGGAUUUUCUGAAAUAUUCGUGGGGUAAUUUGCCGGACAGGUUCCUGUGAGGUUGAAAAAAUCGCAGUCGAGUGGGAUCUCGAUUUUGUUUAUUGGCUUUUCGGGAAUUUGGGUAGUUGUUGUUUCACUAGUUAACAACGGCUCUUGAGCCGAGCCGCUAGAAACAGCAGUGGUGUUAAGGAGGCGCGUGGAGAAAAACGCGCAGACGACGAGGAAGAAGAUGAAGAUGACGACUGAGAAUCUUGCAGGUAACUUGAUGGAAGGCCAGAUCGUCUCUUUCAAAUGACAAUAAAUCCCCGAUCCAUAUUGCAAGUAUCUCUGCACCCUCUGUUGCGCCCUGCUAUUUUCUCUCAUUUCUCUCUCUAAAUCCUGUUAACAACUCUCUGACAAUUGCAUACUCGGAUGAUUUCCGGUAUUUGAGUUGUGGCUGGUACGUACGGAGAUCUUUAAUGCAUAACUAAACCACGAUCAUUUCUAAAAGCCCUUAUAAAGAGUUUCUGAAUUGGGAAGUACGUACUUUCUCCUUACUGACCACCAACUUUAAUAAGCAGAUGGAUCGAGAUCCAAAAGACACUAUAAGAUACAAACACAGUGGUAUUUUGCUUUGCUAAUUGCUAUUGAGGUUGGGUCAGGCAUAGCUUAAAGACAGACAAACGAUGAUUAAAAGGAAAAGAAAGAAAGAGAUGGACCUUAUUAUUCCCAGCUAGCAAGCAAAAUUGACUAAGAUAGAAAGUAUGGAAGAAAAGAAGAAAUUGAAGAUGGUACUCGGAAAGAUAGAGAGAAGCAAAUAAAGAAAGAGAGAGAGAGAGAUCCAAGAAAAUGUUACAGUGCGGUGGGUCUCGUGAUACUGCGGCUGCUUCUUCACUUGCCACCGUUCUCAACGGGGAAGGAAAAAAAAAUAUAUGUAAUUGCCAAAGGUGGAGAUGGA